rnacentral:rRNA from 1 species
GACGAACGCUGGCGGCGUGCCUAAUACAUGCAAGUAGGACGCAGUUGCGAACGGGUGAGUAACGCGUAGGUAACUACCUAUUAGAGGGGGAUAACUAUUGGAAACGAUAGCUAAUACCGCAUACUAGUAGAUGGACCUGCGUUGUAUUAGCUAGUAGGUAGGGUAAUGGCCUACCUAGGCAACGAUACAUAGCAGAGCUGGGAGGGUGAUCGGCCAAACUGGGACUGGGGAACGGGCCAGACUCCCACGGGGGGCAGCAGUAGGGAAUCUUCGGCAAUGGGGGGAACCCUGACCAAGCAAAGCCGCGUGAGUGAAGAAGGUUUUCGGGUCGUAAAGCUCUGUUGUUAAGGGAGCGGUACUUAACCAGAAAGGGACGGCUAACUACGUGCCAGCAGCCGCGGUAAUUC